rnacentral:rRNA from 1 species
GAUGAACGCUGGCGGCGUGCCUAAUACAUGCGAGUCGAGCGAACGGACGAGAAGCUUGCUUCUCUGAUGUUAGCGGCGGACGGGUGAGUAACACGUGGAUAACCUACCUAUAAGACUGGGAUAACUUCGGGAAACCGGAGCUAAUACCGGAUAAUAUUUUGAACCGCAAGGUUCAAAAGUGAAAGACGGUCUUGCUGUCACUUAUAGAUGGAUCCGCGCUGCAUUAGCUAGUUGGUAAGGUAACGGCUUACCAAGGCAACGAUGCAUAGCCGACCUGAGAGGGUGAUCGGCCACACUGGAACUGAGACACGGUCCAGACUCCUACGGGAGGCAGCAGUAGGGAAUCUUCCGCAAUGGGCGAAAGCCUGACGGAGCAACGCCGCGUGAGUGAUGAAGGUCUUCGGAUCGUAAAACUCUGUUAUUAGGGAAGAACAUAUGUGUAAGUAACUGUGCACAUCUUGACGGUACCUAAUCAGAAAGCCACGGCUAACUACGUG